GGGUGACCUCAUGACACAGUCAAGUUGAAGGUGAGGGAGUAAAAUAAAUGCUACAUUAGCCCGUGUCCAAAGCCUUCAGAGUGAUUAUUUUUGUUUGCAUCUCUCUCCCAAUAGUACUUGUCACUAUCUAAUGCUAUUUUGUGCUUUUAUUACAGAAUUUCAUGAAUGGAAAGCAGAAGAAGAGGGUAGCCAAAACUGUUGGUUCAUUUUGCCCAGGGACCCCAAAAAGCUGGCCAGUGGAGAAACAAGGAUCCACUAUUACUGUAAUAGAUCAGGCGAGGCAAGGAAAAAGGAAGGUCAUAGUGACCGUCGGGAGAAAAGUCAGGGGAGCUGUAGGUCUGAUCUUGUGCUAUGAGAUGAGGAGGUGUAAAAUAAAAACACCGUGUAGAUUUCACAAUGCCUUUAAGAAACCAUGCGAAGCUUGGAGAUGAAGCAUUACAUGCACCUUGAACCAAGUGUCUGGACACAGCGAGUGAAAGUUGUUUUGUCAUGAGCGAGGGUGUCGGUGUUACUUGUAACUACCUUUAAAUAAAGGUUUGUUUCAAAACAGUG